AAGAUACCUAGAAUCAUUGCAGAUUCGUCUUCUGCGUCACAUGUGUGGCAAUAUUUUACAGAUAGAAGAUAUGCUAUUAAUAUUCUCAGUGUUCUGACCUAUGCACAUCUGAAUUAUUAGUAGCUCAACAUU